UCUUCUUCAGCAAUGAUAUGGUGUUGGUUGAUGAUGUAUUCAUGAAAUUCUUUUCCUUGUCCAUCUUACAGCAAGAUCACUCCCACUGUUAUACUGGAUGCCCCACAAGAUUCUCUGAUCUUGAAUGAGGAGAUUUUUGGUCCUUUACUUCCCAUUAUCACGUUGUAUAUUUCUCAACCCCAACUGGACUCAGCUUCAGGAGGUGCUCUUCACUCUGCCGUCGCGAGCAGAUUAACAUUUAUAUAGUUGAAGGACAAGAUACAAGAUUAUAGAGCUUAUAGAGAGGUGCUGGUUUUAGAAGGCAACGGAAGCCCUAGUUUUUUUUUUUUUUUUUAGUUGGGCUCAAAACAUUAUGUAUGAAUGUUUUGUGAUAUAUAUAAUAUAUGUUAUUGAUGGUUUUAUCAUUUUGUUGUUUUAA